UGAGAUGAAGCACUGUAGCUC
rnacentral:ncRNA from 48 species